rnacentral:lncRNA from 1 species
CGCAACAAACAUUCUGCCACUAACACUGGGACGCCGCAAGACGUACCAGAAACUGUGGAGGUUGAAUUGUUUGUCGUGGUGGACACAUUCUACAGCAAACAUUUUCAUGGAACAAACAAGCUCAUUACCUACGUUUGCAUAAUGAUGAACACCGUUAACCUGUGGCUUGCUGAGACUAGCCAACCCACAAUUAAACUCCUGCUCACCGGUGUGGAAACAAGUGAGAAUGAGGCGUAUCUCAAAUCAAGACAUCACUCUAUUAGUGCCGAAGAAACUAUCCAAGAGCUGAAAAAGUAUGCUACUGAAUAUAAGAAUAAGCACGGGAAUCCAGAUAUCUUGUAUCUGUUGUCAGGGUACACGAUUUUGUCUUUGCA